UAAUUACAGAUAACUAGCAGGAGCAAUGUUGUGCUGCCCUUGCUUGCCCAUUGGGAAGACUAAGAAAGUCCACCCAGUGCCAGUGCAAGAGGCUGCAAUCCCCAGACCUCAGAGGGUCAGCCGCUCCUUCUUCAAGAGGCUGAGGAGAUUAUUUAAGAAGAAGGAGAAGAAGACUAAAGAGUCUGUCCCCCCUCGGACGGACACCCUUGUGGUAGAGGGACCGGUUAAAGAUGAGCCUGAGGUCCCUGCCACCACCACCACCAUCUCUCAUGCCCCUCACCACCCCACAGAGAAGGAAGGGGAGGAGGAGAGGAAGGAGAGCCCUGUUUGGGCGGAGAAGGUGAGAGGCCCAAGGCAUGAGACGCCCCAAAGCCUCAAAGAGGAGGACGUCACGAUGGAGGACCUGGAGGGAGGGGAGUACAUCAGCUCCUCCCAUGCCCCGGUCAUGGAGGCCUCAUCUGGGGCCACCAGCUCCUCCCUUGCCCCAGAGAAGGUGAUGUCAUCCAGCGUCACCAGCUCUUCUCAUGCCCCAAAGAAGGUGACGUCAUCCAGCGUCACCAGCUCUUCUCAUGCCCCAAAGAAGGUGAUCUCACCUGGGGCCACCUGCUCCUCCCUUGCCCCAAAGAAGGUGACGUCAUCCAGGGUCACCAGCUCUUCUCAUGCCCCAAUGAAGGAGAUCUCAUCUGGGGCCACCUGCUCCUCCCUUGCCCCAGAGAAGGCGACGUCAUCCAGGCUCACCAGCUCCUCCUUUGCCCCAGUGAAGGUGACGUCAUCCAGCGUCACCAGCUCUUCUCAUGCCCCGAUGAAGGAGAUCUCAUCUGGGGACCGACCUGCCGUCCAGGUGACGGACCAGUCGGGAGGGAGGGCAUCUCGGGGCCGGAGCAGAAGCCGCAGCUCGGCCCCAACUGCCCAGAAGUCCCGCGUGGCGUUGCUGCACCAGCUGAAGUGCAGAGGGCUGCCCAACCUGGGCCAGACGUGCUACGUCAACGCCACGCUGCAGUGCCUCAUCCACCUGCAGGCCCUGCGCACCCAGCUGCUGCGGCAGGAGGCCGUGUGGAGCGCCAGGCCCGAGGCCCUGCUGGUCAGUACCUUCGUGGAACUCAUACGUCUACGAGGGUCUUCUGACAUGGACAUGAAGGCAGCAGUGGUCUUUGAGUUCAAGGAGACCAUCGCCCUGCGCAACCAGGAGUUUGAGGGGAACUCUCAGAACGACGCCCAUGAGUUCCUCUCGGAGUGUCUGCAGAUGCUAAGUGCCAUCGGCCAGAAGCUGGCCAUGGGGGACGUGGCCUACCAGUGCCCAGUGGACACUCUGCUCUCCUUCCAGCUCCGCUACACCAGAACCUGCCAGAGCUGUGGAGUUGAGAGCUCAAGGGAGGAGCUGAACACCAUGCUCUCCCUGGACCUGGCUCAGCAGGGAUCAGUGAGGAAGAGCCUCCAGCUCUAUUUCGCCGAGACAUCAGUGGAGUACCGGUGUGACUGCUGCGGGGGAAGGGGCUCCAGCCUGAGGUGCCACUUCCACACUCUGCCUCAGGUGUUGAUCCUCCAUCUGAAGAGGUUCUGCCCCCUGACCCUCUCAAAGCAGCAUCAGGCAGUCAUGCUGGACCCCUACCUGCACCUGACGGCACUGGGCGAAAGGACUGAAGAGGCCAUCAGGACUCCUCCAGCUAGAGCGUCCAGUGUAGGUGCAGAGACAGGGACAGAGACCACGGAGACAAGCAGCCAGUAUAAACUGAUAAGUAUACUGAGCCACAUUGGGUCUGAUGCCACCAGCGGUCACUACAUCGCCGACUGCCGAGAAAGACCAGGGCAGUGGGUGCUGUACAAUGACCACAAUGUCUUCCUAAAACCGGAGGAUGUCGUCCUCAAAGACCGGGAGAGGGCGGCAUACAUCCUCUUUUACAUCAAAGAGGUGUCAGCAUCACCAUCAGGCUGGCAUGGCAACCAAUGGGUGACCCCUUCAAAAAGGUCAAAUACAAAUACACCAACGUCGGUCAUACCGGUGGGUGUUGUGUAAUGACCAUGAGGUCACCCGACCAAUACCAUCAGAGGAGGCUGUUCUCAAAGACGGGAGAGAGCGGCCCAGAACCUGUUUACACUACAAAGUGAGGCAGGCCACUAUUGUCUGCCCCCCCCUCCAAUCAUCAUCGGGGGUAAAAGGUGUCAGCAUCACCAUCAGGCUGGCAUGGCAACCAAUGGGUGACCCCUUCAAAAAGGUCAAAUACAAAUACACCAACGUCGGUCAUACCGGUGGGUGUUGUGUAAUGACCAUGAGGUCACCCGACCAAUACCAUCAGAGGAGGCUGUUCUCAAAGACCGGGAGAGAGCGGCCCAGACCCUGUUUACACUACAAAGUGAGGCAGACCACUAUUUUCUGCCCCCCCCUCCAAUCAUCAUCGGGGGUAAAAGGUGUCAGCAUCACCAUCAGGCUGGCAUGGCAACCAAUGGGUGACCCCUUCAAAAAGGUCAAAUACAAAUACACCAACGUCGGUCAUACCGGUGGGUGUUGUGUAAUGACCAUGAGGUCACCCGACCAAUACCAUCAGAGGAGGCUGAUCUCAAAGACUGGGAGAGAGCGGCCCAGACCCUGUUUACACUACAAAGUGAGGCAGACCACUAUUUUCUGCCCCCCCCCCCCAUCAUCAUCGGGGGUAAAAGGUGUCAGCAUCCCCAUCAGGCUGGCAUGGCAACCAAUGGGCAACCCCUCCAUAAAGUGAGGCAGGUCACCCACCUUCCCACCCCAUCUGCCCUCCUGCAUGUUAUGACCGUGAUGUCUCCUUAACAUCGGAGAAGGUCGUUCUCAAAGAACGGGAGAGGACGGCCGAAAUCCUGUUUUACGUCAAAAAGGCCUCUACAUCGCCGACCAUCAAGAGCGACCAGGCGUAUAACGAACAUGAGGUCACCCUAACAUUCUGUUUCACAUUAGAAAAGUGUGGAAGAUCGCCUCCUAACCACCAUCUGCUGUCUGCUGUCCCCAAUCUCAAUUUGGGGUAAAAGAAGUUCACAUCACUCCAGCCGACUGGCAACCAGUGGGUGACCCAUCCACGAGGUCCAAUAAAAUCAUACUACACCAACAUGAGAAAUCAUUCACUGUAUAUUUUGCAUAUCAUCAAGCAACAACU